GUUGGACCCAGGUUGUUCUGUUUUUUCACCUAGACUCUACCAUCGGCUCAUACCGAAGACUUUGGAAUACGAAAACUGGGACACAGUGACUAAUUAUCACAUCGAAAUGCCCAACUAUGAUAGGUUGGUCCUGAAAAGUAAAGGUCAUCUUAUUAAAGCAGUAUCAGACAUGUCGCACUGCCAAAUUGUGAUCCAGGACCUAAUAAAGGGACAGCUCACUGCCGUAAGUGACCCAAGAAAGGGCGGGACCCCUGCUGGUUACUAAAAUAAUUUCUAUUUCCAUUGUACCUUUACUGCUUAGUUAUUGGUCUUCUUAUGGUUUGGGCUCAAUAAUGAGUAUCUCGUUAAUGGCCUGUUUGGGCUCAAUGAUGAGUAUCUCCCUUGUUUUUCUUAAUAAUGUUUAAGGCUCCUGAUAUUACUUGGAUUUGAACACUCUGUUUGUUAGUUGGAUCUGUUAUCAAGUUUACUGCUAUUUGGAUUU